GUUACUACAUCUGUCUGCAGGGAGAGAGAGACAACAUUACUACAUCUGUCUGCAGAGAGAGAGAGACAACGUUACUACAUCUGAAGACGUGUUUAGGAACAGCCUAUGAUCUAAUACUGUAUGUCUGCAGGGAGAGAGAGGAAGGGUGUUGGGCUGAAACAUGCCACCGGACUACUAGUGUGUAGUAACAUAGUGAGACAAGCUUCAAGAUACAAGGGACGGCAGGUAGCCUAGUGGUUAGAGCGUAGGGACGGCAGGUAGCCUAGUGGUUAGAGCGUAGGGGCGGCAGGUAGCCUAGUGGUUAGAGCGUAGGGGCGGCAGGUAGACUAGUGGUUAGAGUGUAGGGGCGGCAGGUAGACUAGUGGUUAGAGUGUAGGGGCGGCAGGUAGACUAGUGGUUAGAGUGUAGGGGCGGCAGGUAGCCUAGUGGUUAGAGUGUAGGGGCGGCAGGUAGACUAGUGGUUAGAGUGUAGGGGCGGCAGGUAGACUAGUGGUUAGAGUGUAGGGGCGGCAGGUAGCCUAGUGGUUAGAGUGUAGGGGCGGCAGGUAGACUAGUGGUUAGAGUGUAGGGGCGGCAGGUAGCCUAGUGGUUAGAGUGUAGGGACGGCAGGUAGACUAGUGGUUAGAGUGUAGGGGCGGCAGGUAGACUAGUGGUUAGAGUGUAGGGGCGGCAGGUAGCCUAGUGGUUAGAGUGUAGGGGCGGCAGGUAGACUAGUGGUUAGAGUGUAGGGGCGGCAGGUAGACUAGUGGUUAGAGUGUAGGGGCGGCAGGUAGACUAGUGGUUAGAGUGUAGGGGCGGCAGGUAGCCUAGUGGUUAGAGUGUAGGGGCCGCAGGUAGACUAGUGGUUAGAGUGUAGGAGCGGCAGGUAGACUAGUGGUUAGAGUGUAGGGGCGGCAGGUAGCCUAGUGGUUAGAGUGUAGGGGCGGCAGGUAGACUAGUGGUUAGAGUGUAGGGACGGCAGGUAGACUAGUGGUUAGAGUGUAGGGACGGCAGGUAGCCUAGUGGUUAGAGUGUAGGGACGGCAGGUAGGCUAGUGGUUAGAGUGUAGGGACGGCAGGUAGCCUAGUGGUAGACUGUAGGGACGGCAGGUAGCCUAGUGGUUAGAGUGUAGGGGCGGCAGGUAGACUAGUGGUUAGAGUGUAGGGACGGCAGGUAGACUAGUGGUUAGAGUGUAGGGGCGGCAGGUAGCCUAGUGGUUAGAGUGUAGGGACGGCAGGUAGCCUAGUGGUUAGAGUGAAGGGACGGCAGGUAGCCUAGUGGUUAGAGUGUAGGGACGGCAGGUAGCCUAGUGGUUAGAGUGCAGGGACGGCAGGUAGCCUAGUGGUUAGAGUGUAGGGACGGCAGGUAGGCUAGUGGUUAGAGUGUAGGGACGGCAGGUAGCCUAGUGGUUAGAGUGUAGGGGCGGCAGGUAGCCUAGUGGUUAGAGUGUAGGGGCGGCAGGUAGCCUAGUGGUUAGAGUGUAGGGGCGGCAGGUAGCCUAGUGGUUAGAGUGUAGGGGCGGCAGGUAGCCUAGUGGUUAGAGUGUAGGGACGGCAGGUAGCCUCGUGGUUAGAGUGUAGGGACGGCAGGUAGACUAGUGGUUAGAGUGUAGGGACGGCAGGUAGACUAGUGGUUAGAGUGUAGGGACGGCAGGUAGACUAGUGGUUAGAGUGUAGGGACGGCAGGUAGACUAGUGGUUAGAGUGUAGGGACGGCAGGUAGCCUAGUGGUUAGAGUGCAGGGACGGCAGGUAGCCUAGUGGUUAGAGUGUAGGGACGGCAGGUAGCCUAGUGGUUAGAGUGUAGGGACGGCAGGUAGCCUAGUGGUUAGAGUGUAGGGACGGCAGGUAGCCUAGUGGUUAGAGUGUAGGGACGGCAGGUAGCCUAGUGGUUAGAGUGUAGGGGCGGCAGGUAGCCUAGUGGUUAGAGUGUAGGGACGGCAGGUAGACUAGUGGUUAGAGUGUAGGGGCGGCAGGUAGCCUAGUGGUUAGAGUGUAGGGGCGGCAGGUAGCCUAGUGGUUAGAGUGUCGGGGCGGCAGGUAGUCUAGUGGUUAGAGUGUAGGGAUGGCAGGAAGCCUAGUGGUUAAAGUGUAGGGGCGGCAGGUAGACUAGUGGUUAGAGUGUAGGGACGGCAGGUAGACUAGUGGUUAGAGUGUAGCGUCAGUAACCAGAAGGGUGCUAGAUCGAAUCCCUGAGCUGACAAAGUAAAAAUCUGUCGUUCUGCCCCCUGAACAAGGCAGUUAACCCACUGUUCCUAGACAGUCAUUGUAAAAUAAGAAUUUGUUCUUAACCUACUUGCCAAGUUAAAUAAAGGUACAAUUUUCAAAAAACAACUAAUGACAUGACGACCCUGCAGUGGACCCUCAGGUCUACAUCCACUGUAAACAAACACUACCGACGCAGGUUCAGAGUCCAUUUCUCUGACUCUAUUGAUCAUCGGUCUGUAGUGUUUCAAGCUCUUCCAUUACGCUCCGAACAAGAUCGAGCUUCCUAAGUGGAUUUUAAAAACCCCAUGAAAACCUCCUGCUGGUCCACAUCCACUCAU